GACCAUGCUUCUCUUGUGGUGGCUGUGGUGGGCGGUAACUUAGGGAGGGGUCAGAGUUCCAGGACCAUGAGGGAAUGCCUAACAUGUCAUGAAGGUGAAUUAUGACCAUCGGGGUUCAGACCUCAGCUCAACUGGAUACUAGCCUGCAAUUUCCCACAGUGACAUCCUCAUUGAGUCCUGUUCCUUGUGACACCCUUGAAGACCCUCUCCAUUAGUUACUCCCUAAUUUCACAGAGAGACCUGGAUUCCUGCUCCUGCUGUCAGAUCCUCUUUCAGCUAAAACAUCUGGGAUUGAGAGGUGUGGUUUUACUGGAUUUUGAUCUUAUGGCUCUGAGAUGUCUCCUCAUGAAAGUGAACCAAUCAGGAUGGCAGUUCAUGGUCCACCCCAAUUCC